GUAGUCGUAGUUUAAGAAAAACGUUAGAUUGUGAUUCUAAAAAUAGGGGUUAAACUCCCCUCGUCCACC
rnacentral:tRNA from 1 species